GGCACUGUGUCCGAGUGGUCCAAGGAGUGUGACUCAAGCGCUAAAGCUUACCUUCUGAGAAGGUUUCUCAUCUGCAUACGCAGGCAGGGGUUCGAAUCCCCUCGGUGUCA